UACGUAGGGUGCGAGCGUUGUCCGGAAUUAUUGGGCGUAAAGAGCUCGUAGGCGGUGUGUCGCGUCGGCCGUGAAAACCUGCAGCUUAACUGUGGGCUUGCGGUCGAUACGGGCAUCACUGGAGUUCGGCAGGGGAGACUGGAAUUCCUGGUGUAGCGGUGAAAUGCGCAGAUAUCAGGAGGAACACCAAUAGCGAAGGCAGCUCGCUGGGACGGUACUGACGCUAAGGCGCGAAAGCGUGGGGAGCGAACAGG
rnacentral:rRNA from 1 species